CUGCAAUCCCUGGUCUAGUUCACCUUUCCACUAAGAGUGAGCUAGCGUUGGCCAGGCGUGGGGAUGCAUGCCAUCAGUCUCACGAUAAUGGAUGAUCGUCCUGAAUAAUACAAGAUUCUCUGAACAUUGCUUUCAUGCUGUGAUGUAAUUGCAUUGCUGAUUGUACAAGGGUUUAAAUGAAGAUUUUGAGAUGAGAAAAUUAUCCUGGAUUAUUCAGGUGGGUCCUAAAUACCAUCACAAGUGUCCUUACAAGGAAGAGGCAGCAGGAGAUGGGACACACAGUAAAGGUGAUAAUGAAGAUGGAGGUGGAGAUUGGAGGGAUGCGGCCACAAGCCAAUGAAUGCCUGCAGCUACCAGAAGCCACAGAGAGCUCCGCUAGAGCCUCUGGAGGGAGCUUGGCCCUGUCAACACCUUGAUUUGAACCCAGUGAAACAAAUUUCCAACUUCUGUCCUCCUGGACUGUGAAGUAAUAAAUUUCUGUUUUUUUAAGCUACC
rnacentral:lncRNA from 1 species